GAAAGGGAACCAUUUCUAAGUGUAGUAUAUGUUUUCAGUGGAGGAGAAAUUACUUCUUCUUGGGGUUAGAAAGUUUGUCUAAAGAAUGCAUAAGUUCAUGCACAGACUGUCACUGACUGGGUGACUUAGACACAAGAUGUCUAUUUUCUUACAGUUCUGGAGGGCAGAAGUGCAAGGGGGAGGAGCCAGGGGCUUGCUUUCACCUGACAUUUCUCCAUAGCUGUUUCAUCAGAGCUCUCCAUGGCCAUUCUCCUGUGAACACACAUGCCUGGUCCCGUCUCCAACUACACUCACAGUCUGGGACACUGGAGAUUAGGGCAUCAGGAAGUCUUUUGUAAUACUCAAUUCAACCUCUACACAAGGGGACCAGGACAGACUCCAGGAAAAGAGGUCUAGCCUCUGACUCUUAAGAAGUGCAAGUUCUCAUUAAGUGCUUCUAUACCAAUGCAUGCCCUCAGCCAAUCUGAGACAUGACCUGCAAACAUUUCCAGGAGAGCUUGUGAAACCUCUGCCCAGGUGCUUCCUGCUGGGUGGACUCUGGUGGAUCUGUGGCUUUCAAUCUACACACAGCCAAGUUCUAUGGAACUUCUUUGCAUGGAAAGGUAACACACCCAGGAUGAUGUCCAAGGCCAAGGUCCCUGAGAGUGUGGAUAUAUGGAUGCUGUUUCUGCCAGUGAGAGAUUGCCGUGCUCUUCGUCUUGUUUAGAACGUCGGUCGAAUGGAACCCUCAGGUGCCUUCCUUCUCUUUCUUCCCUGUACUCUUUCCUGUCCCUGUCCUCUGAGACUUGAGCACAUUUCCCAGAGCUGGCAUCUCUGCAAGUCAUCACUAUGAUGAUCAUUUUCUCAACUUAGCAACACAUCAGCUGUGACAGCGUUCACUCUGUUGGCCUUUCAAUGACAUGGUUGAGCAAGUCCUUCUCUGAGCUAACAUUUCACACAGCCGAGGUUUUAUCUACCAGGGAAGCUAAUAGGAAGAAACGGUGGAAAUUCAUCUCUAGGUACUUGUGUCAGGUUCCUGCCCAGGGAUAGCCCCAAAUGGAUGACACACACACACACACACACACACACACACACACACCGGUCUAAUCAAAUACUUGACCCCAGGAAUGAGCUUUCAAAAGACAGCAGGUCAAACAAGUGUCUCCCUGGGGGAGAUAUUUCCAUGGAGUUCCCCGUGAAAAACAAGCUAGCUGCUCAUGUUCCCUGUGUAGCUAUCUUAAGUUCUUCUGAGAAGCCAAAGGGCCACAGUCCCAGUGUCCCAAGUCCAUGGUAUUUCGUUACUGUUAAUAGGGCUCCAUUCAGACUACUGUGCUGAGGACUGGCCUUCAGGCUUGUGGGUUUUGUUUUUGAACUCCAGGCUGGGGUUUGGAACAAGGUUAAACACCUGAAACAACAGAAUUUGCCUAAUCUAGAGCGAUCUAUUCCCUCACCAGAGAUCACUCUCUGUGUUAUUUUUAUUUUUAAAGGGAGUUAACAUUUAACACAAGCGUUAGCAUGUUCCCACCACUCUGAAUGGGUCUGUUUGUUUCCACUUGAUUCUCUGUUACACUGUUGAACCUUGCCUUCCUCUGGGUUCAGGGAAAUUUUGAGUAUUAAUGAGGAUCAAAGACCCUGAAGUUUGAAAAUGUUUUUCAACCAUGUACCUCAGUAAACAGUUUCUUAAAACAUUUAGCAAUUCGGCAAGCCUGAUUAAGAGGUGAACAGAAGUGCUACAAUUGGUAUGAUGGUGAUUUUUAAAUUCCUAUAUGAAGCAAGGAAUGACCAGUUGUGCGCUUUGUAUUAAGCACCUUGGGGAAAUGUCCAGGGAUGAGUGCUUCUCACAUUGGUCAGCAGCAGCAGGACCUGAGAUUCUGACAGAUGCAGAUUUCUGGGUCCUACCUGGAAUCUGUUGAACUGAAAAUUUACCAGAGAUUACUGAGUGAGUCUGGGAAGAAAGCUUAGUCAGAAAGCCUGCCCAAUGCUGAAGACCGGAGUCUGAGCCACAUAAGAAGCAGCCACGGAGUAAGCCAGACAUGGUGGGCUGGCCAGGCUAGCUAAUCUACCAACCCCAUGUCCCAGUGAACAAACCUAUCUCAAAAAACAAGGUGGAAGCCACCAAGAAAUGAUGCUUGAAGGUGGCCGCUGGCUCCCAGAUGCUCAUAUGCACAGCACCGUACCAACUCCCUCCUCAGACACACAUUCUGGGAUAAGCCCUAGCAACAUGAAUGGGAAGACGACUUUACAGGUAAAGUGAUUAUUUGCCCUGCAAGCCUCAGGACCUGACUUUGAAUACUUAGGACCUACAUCAAGUCAGGAGUCCUGCACUUCUACAAUCCCAGUGCUCCUGUGGUGAGAUGGAAGGACAGACAGACUGUCUGGGAGCUCAGGGGCCAGAUAUCUUGGUGCAUGAAACUGUCAACAACAGUCCUUAUGUCAAAAAGGUGGAGAAUGAGGCCUAACACCUGCCGUUGUCCUCUGACAAGGAUAUGCAUGCCAGGGCACGUGUGCUUCCCUCAUGCUUCAGACACAUAUGCAUAUGUGCCUGCCCGGCACACACAUACAAUGUCAAUAGCAACAUGGCCCCAUGGGCUGUGAAUGGCUUUACAGAUAUCAAGGAUGGAAGCUUUCUCUCUCUGCAGUUGGAGUAACAAAAAUAGCUGACAUUCCUCACUUGCUCCAAAUCAGCUGAGCACUUUGCCAGGAGUGAAGAAGCCUUUCAGGAAUUUCACCUUGAGGAAACAUACACUAGACACAUUGACUAGACACAUUUCUUCCUGUUAGGUUUACCUUCUUGGUUUAGUUCUGCAUAUUUAGUUCUUAGCUUUAUUAGGAACUGGGGGAAAAUGUCAACUUUCUCUUUGAAGUGAAGCGUAAGAGUAACAAACAGCUCAUGGUCAUGAAACAGCUUGUAAGCAUCCAAGGAAGGCAGGGUGGUUGCUCUAGGAGAGCUUAUGCAUGCCUUUUGCAGUAAGCCCAGCCUGGCUGUAAAGCAGGUUGUCUCUUUGGUGAAUUCCACUUGCUAUUACACUAGCCACCUGACCUAUGGGAAAGAGAGACUAAUUCGAGGGUUCAAACAUUGUUGGUGAUGAUGGGAAGAGCCAAGUUUUGUAACUAGUAACACUACUGUUCUUUCCAAGUGUGAUGUUUAUAAACUCUUAUUUGGAUUUUCACAUUUUUAAUAUCUAAUUCAAUUGCAGAGGGUCUGUUUCUAGCAAACCCAGUUAUGGACAACGUACAAUAAAAAAAAAGUUUAGGAAAGAGAGCAAGGUGUGACCAAGAGAGAAGCUGGUAGAUGAAGGAGAUGAGGUGACAACUUUGCACUUUAAAGAAAGACACCUGGGGCAGGUGGGGAUCAGAAGCAGGCUGACCCAGCCCAGGCACCCCUGGGACAUAAGCAAAGCAGUUGGAGGAAAGCAAUGGGAGGGAGGCAAACCCCAUUCUCUCCAUUCACACUCUCCAGUGAGCACACCAAGCUCUGGCUACUUCAUCUUCAGCAUCCAAGUUUAAAGGAAACUUGGACAAAUAGGAGUGAAUCCUAGAUAGCCAGAACCCUAACAUCUGGAGGACCCUUCAAAUAAAGGGAGUAACAGCCACAGGGAAGGUGAAGCCCAGCCAAGAGGGAAGUGGAAUGAAGAUUCUGUUUUUAUAGUCAAGAGAGCUGAAAACAUAUCAAGCCAUCUGUGACUCACUCUGGGUGGCUUUAACUGACUGGAAAAUCAGGAGAGAGAAGAGAGAGAGUCCAGCUGACUCACAUUAAGCUUCUUACCCAGUGUCAAAGAUACAAGCAUCUCUCUUAUAAGUUAUCAUCACUGGAAGUGACCAACAAGAGGCCCUUGAUAACCCUAACAAGGAAGUUGCCAAGAGAUGUGCAGGGUCAGAUGAUGUCCUUUUUGCCCUUUAUGGUCCAGGCCUACGUAGUUCAGUGAGCUGUCUCUGUCAUUGUCAUUGUCCUUGUUGUCGAUGAUGAUGAUGAUAAUGAUGUUUUGGCAGAGUUAGAAAAAACGGCCUAAGUUUAGAGGGAAAUGUAGGUCUCUGUCUGUGGAAGGACCAUCACUGGCUUUGCUGGCAUGGCACACUUAGAUAAUAAGAUUCCAAACCUUCUUGGUCUGUGUUCUGACUGUAGAGUCUCUGUCUAUUUGGGCAUCUUCCAAGUCCACAGGGAUGUCUUAUCAAGAGAUGCUCAGGGCUGAGGAGAUGGCUCCUCGUGUAAAAGUGUUUGCUGUCAAACCUGGGAACCGACCUGUUUAAUCCCUGGAACCCCUGUGGUGGAAGGAGAAUAUCCACUCCUAUAGGUUAUCCUCCCACCUUGCUACACAUGCUGUAAUGUGAUUGCACAUGUACACAUAUGUGUGUGCAUGUGUGCACGUACACACACACACACACACACACACACACACACACACACACAUGAUAAGGAUAAAAGGGAAAUGCCCCCUUUCCAUCCCUAACCAUCUACAGGGCUAUGCAACUCACACUUAAACUAUAUAAAAAUUGUACCAGGUUGUUAAACUCUAAGAGAGAAACUGAGUCACUGACAUUUCUACCUCCAGGCAGCUUCAUAGGAAAGAUACUGUUUAAUGGAGAGUGAGCAAUAAUGUUACACCACAAGAGUUUAUGCAGUGGGUCCUGUAGGAGACUCAAUACUCUGCAGAUGGUAUGGCUGCAAGAAAAUCACCAGAAAAGCAAAACUAAGCUGAGAGCAUCCUGUGGCCUGACCGAGAAGAUUCAUCUACUCUAGAAGAAGAUUUCCGUGUUAUCUCUGCACUUAGGAUUGUGUUGCCACUAAAUCAUUCAUAGGAAACCAUCCGUGUUAAAUUUUCUGUCACAAUAACCUUGAUGUGUUAAAAUUAUAAAGUUAAAGACUUCUGAGAUGAAAAUCUCAUUUUUAAAAAAUUCUUUAAAGUGCAUAGGUUUUAAAACACCAUGAAAAUAUAAAAUCCGGAUAAGUCAGAUGAAAUAUGUAUAAGGCUUGGAAAAUUGAAUUUUUUAAACCAUAAUCCUUGACAAUUACAUUUUACUCCUGUAGAGUUGUCUAAUUUUUUUCUUUGCUUAUAUCCUUUGUCUCUUUUUGAAAUUAAUCCAUUAUGCAACAGAGCCAUUGCAUUGUCCCCAACUGCAAUGCAUUAACCUGCAUGGUUUAUGUUAGCUGCUGCAAGGAUUUAUUUUGAAUGUGGGAAUGCUUCAUCUCUUGCUUCCUUUCUUCUUCCUCUUCUGCUUUAUUUCAAUGCAACUCUUAAGUCAUUAUUACAAAGUUCUUGCUACAUU